AGGGAAACUUACGCUAAUACCGCAUACGACCUACGGGUGAAAGCAGGGGAUCUUCGGACCUUGCGCGAUUGAAUGAGCCGAUGUCGGAUUAGCUAGUUGGCGGGGUAAAGGCCCACCAAGGCGACGAUCCGUAGCUGGUCUGAGAGGAUGAUCAGCCACACUGGAACUGAGACACGGUCCAGACUCCUACGGGAGGCAGCAGUGGGGAAUAUUGGACAAUGGGCGCAAGCCUGAUCCAGCCAUACCGCGUGGGUGAAGAAGGCCUUCGGGUUGUAAAGCCCUUUUGUUGGGAAAGAAAUCCAGCUGGCUAAUACCCGGUUGGGAUGACGGUACCCAAAGAAUAAGCACCGGCUAACUUCGUGCCAGCAGCCGCGGUAAUACGAAGGGUGCAAGCGUUACUCGGAAUUACUGGGCGUAAAGCGUGCGUAGGUGGUCGUUUAAGUCCGUUGUGAAAGCCCUGGGCUCAACCUGGGAACUGCAGUGGAUACUGGACGACUAGAGUGUGGUAGAGGGUAGCGGAAUUCCUGGUGUAGCAGUGAAAUGCGUAGAGAUCAGGAGGAACAUCCAUGGCGAA
rnacentral:rRNA from 1 species